rnacentral:lncRNA from 1 species
ACAGCUCAAACCAUCAGUCAAAUUUCAAGCUUUUAAUCAUUUGGCUGAUUUAUUUUUAAGUUUUAGUAAUUCGGAUCCUUUAUUUUUAUUUCCCUUCAUCUAGAUGUACAUUCUGCUUUCUGCCUUCUUAAAAAUGCCAAAUCUGUGAUCAUAGGUUUAUUUUCCAGGAGGUCCAAAGAAAUCAAAGACACAGAUGGGAAUCUCACCCAGAACCCUACACUUUUCAAGUAGCUACUCAAUACUUGUUAAAAACUAACAAGUCAUUUUAAUUGAUUUGAUUUGAGACAUAAUUGGUUUUUAUUUGUAAUUCUAUAAUUGAGAAGCCCUUCCUUGUGUAGUGACUGAUCUGAUGAUCUUAGAAAGUUAGCUACAUGAGCAGAAAUAUAGAAUAUUUUUCUAUAGUCAGAGAAAAAUUACAAAUUAAGGAAGCAG